CGUUAUCUCUAGCACACCUAGCUAGCUCGAUAGCGACGAUAUAAUUCACUCUGUGACUGUAGUGUAAAGUCGAUCAACCUUGAACAGGCUUAUUGUGUUUUCCAACUAUAAGAAUCAAGUUUAAGGUUAAUAGCAGCCUCCUGGGUAUGUAAGAUGGCUCUGUAUCCAACUGUCCCAAUUCAAAUCCAGCUCACAGACUAUGAACUGGAGACUCCUCACCUGGGAGUGGCACCCAUCUACUCUGUGGUGCCGGUUACCCCUCCCCCUCCCCCUUACAACCCACACCUUUACCCUCCUCUCUACGAUGUGGAACCACCACCACCUCCCCACAACCUGCCUCAGUUCGUGGCUCUUGUAGGGAUCCAUCCAAUGCAUCAAAAGAGUGGCAGCACAUCUUCUAGUGAACCGUCUAGAAGGCAUUCUGCAGAAAACAAGGCCCCAACUUCUGAGGAAAAGGAAGCCAAAAUAACAACAAAAGAGGCAAUAACGCAAGAUAAUCCUCCAGGUAAUCCUGAACAAGAAGGACGGCAAGUUUGGCAUGAAGCUUGCGGUGAUACACAAGAACAUCUUCAUCUACAAGGUGACGAAAGGAUCUUCUGCAUCCCAGGCUGGACUGAAGCUGGGCGAUCAGAUUGUCAAAGUCAAUGGCACCUGUGUCUCGGGCCUCAGCAACGACAACGUCCAUGAUCUGCUCAGACGUUGUCCUCAAUACGGCAUCAAGUUCACAGUUCGCAGCAGGUAUUCUUGUUGGAAGUGACUUAACUGUCUUCAAGAAAUUGGACAGUGUGAAAAAGUCUUUCAAAGACUUGUGAACCACAACGGAGUGAUAAAAUCUGCCUUCAAACCUAUCAACCACUUGUACUGCCGACAUACAGCAUGUGUUUACUGGGAAGUUUAACUACACAGCUAAAAGUUAACUUUUCCCAAUACACAGCACAUGUGGUCACUGAUGGUAAAAAUGGAAUUGAGUUGGAACUGAGGACUAUUUUAUAUAACUUACAGUACUUGAUUCUUAUUUUUCUUAAAGUGAAGUUUAACGUUAGUGAUACAUUACCUUACUUAUUAUAUAAGUCACAGGUUGUUAUUUUGUCUGCAACAGAAACUGUCCAUAAUUUUAGCAACUAGUAAUUACAGAAAUAAAAAUGUUUAACUUAUUGUAGUAAUUUAUGAUUUUAUUGAUUAGAUGCAAAUUUAUCAUCAGUAGAACAAUAUUCAAUGGAAAAAAUAAAUAUUGCGUAACUCUA